UACAGAGGUCUCAAGCGUUGUUCGGAUUCAUUGGGCGUAAAGGGUGCGUAGGCGGCGCGGUAAGUCGGGUGUGAAAUUUCGAGGCUUAACUUCGAAACUGCAUUCGAUACUGCCGUGCUUGAGGACUGGAGAGGAGACUGGAAUUUACGGUGUAGCGGUGAAAUGCGUAGAUAUCGUAAGGAAGACCAGUGGCGAAGGCGGGUCUCUGGACAGUUCCUGACACUGAGACACGAAGGCCAGGGGAGCAAACGGG
rnacentral:rRNA from 1 species